rnacentral:tRNA from 1 species
GGCUCCAUCGUCUAGCGGCAAGGACCUCUGACCCUCAAUCAGAGUACCGCGGUUCGAUUCCGCGUGGAGUCA